UUUUUGGCGGGAAGCUGAGGACCCAGAGAAAGGACUGAGGGGAGCUGGCCUCUUACAGUUGCUCUGGUGUGAAGGAGGGCCUGCUGCCACCUCGCCAAGCCCGCUGGUGAACCCGCUGAUGCCGAGGCCACCUGCCUGAUUCUUGAUCGCAGACUUGAGCUCGUGAUUCUCUCGAAUAAGCCGCACCAGCUUCUUGAGUUCCUCAUUUUCCCGCACCAGCCUCUCUAUCUGAUGCCGAAGCCCCUCAUAAUUGUAGGUUACCUUCAAUUGCAUGUGGGCGUCAUCCAUUCAGUUGAAGAACUUAAGAGCAAAAAGACCUGAGGUUUUCUGGGGAAGAAGGAAUUUUGCCUCAAGACUGUAACAGAAAUCCUGCCCAAGUUUCCAGCCUGCCCUACACAUUUCAGACUUGCCGGCCCCCACAACUGUAUGAACCAAUUCCUUAAAGUAAACCUAUUAAUAUAGAAUAACUCUGA